rnacentral:lncRNA from 1 species
GCUUGAUCCUCUAAAAGGCUGCAAUCGAAGUGUCAGGCAGGACUAGGUUCUCAUCUAAAAGUCCGGUUUGGCAUGAAUUGGCUUUAAACUCAGGUUAUUGGCAACAUCCACGUUUGGCGACGUGUUAGACUAAGGGCUUUGAGUUUUGCUGGCUGUCAGUCAGAGGCUACUUUCAGGGCCUUGUCGUGUGUGUCUCCCACCAUGGCUCCUUUCUUCAUCAGAGACAGCAAGGGAGAGAGACUCUCAUCUGGACAGAUGUCGUCAUCUUGUUUAGUAUAAUUAUGAAAGGGUUGUCCCAUCAGCGUGGCUGUGUCCUAUUGGUAAUCCCGUCACACUCUAAGGGUGAAGACUGCACGAAGUCAUGAACACCAGAAGGCAGGAAUGAUGGAAGCUCUCCAAGAGUCUCUCCUGAAUGCCAUCGCAUGCCUUCCCUUCGAUGAGAAAUACCCUUCAUAACUCACUCACCUUGCUUCCCUGGCCUUCACGUCCUGGGAUCAACAUCACUUUCUCAGGAAACCUUUCCCGGGCACACCAGGUUGACAUGAGAAUCUCACUGCACAUCUUGAUCAAGACCAGGAGCGAGGAUACACAGCCAGUGCUUCACGAGUGGACUGAAGAGAAAAGGCAUCCAGCUGCACGGAGUGGGGAUGGGAUUGAGGCACUAACACCCACUUCAGGGGCACCAGGUGUCACUAAUAAUUAAGAUUAUCUGUGGUAUAAAUCCGGCUGUUUCGGAGCUUUCCCUACAACCACUUUGGGAUCCAGCGUUCCGGCGUCCGGUAAGUGAGUUGGCUUUUUUCUCUUUGUAUUUAAUUUUUAAAAAUUGUGUUGCUGUUUGUAUCCUUUUGUCUUCUCUUCCUUUUGGCUUUAGGUCUUAAAUAAAGUCCAUCCUGUAGUCUCA